GACCUGAUAGCACAAUGGUCAGUGCCUCUGCUCCAUUUAAUGUUGCUGUAGAUUUUCAGCAGAUGAUCUCUGUUCGAUUCGGGGUCAGGUCA